GUGGGGAAUAUUGGACAAUGGGCGAAAGCCUGAUCCAGCCAUGCCGCGUGUGUGAAGAAGGUCUUCGGAUUGUAAAGCACUUUAAGUUGGGAGGAAGGGCAGUAAGUUAAUACCUUGCUGUUUUGACGUUACCAACAGAAUAAGCACCGGCUAACUUCGUGCCAGCAGCCGCGGUAAUACGAAGGGUGCAAGCGUUAAUCGGAAUUACUGGGCGUAAAGCGCGCGUAGGUGGUUCAGCAAGUUGAAGGUGAAAUCCCCGGACUCAACCUGGGAACUGCCUCCAAAACUACUGAGCUAGAGUACGGUAGAGGGUAGUGGAAUUUCCUGUGUAGCGGUGAAAUGCGUAGAUAUAGGAAGGAACACCAGUGGCGAAGGCGACUACCUGGACUGAUACUGACACUGAGGUGCGAAAGCGUGGGGAGCAAACAGGAUUAGAUACCCGAGUAGUCC
rnacentral:rRNA from 1 species